AUUGCUUCUUGGCCUUUGGGCUAAGAUCAAGUGUAGUAUCUGUUCUAAUUAGUUUAAUUAUUUGUUGUUUAUUGAUAUUUCUUUUAUUUGUGAAUUGCCCUUUC
rnacentral:snRNA from 1 species